AGCAGUCGCCGCGGGAAUACGUAGGUGGCAAGCGUUGUCCGGAAUUAUUGGGCGUAAAGGGCUCGCAGGCGGCUUCUUAAGUCUGAUGUGAAAGCCCCCGGCUCAACCGGGGAGGGUCAUUGGAAACUGGGAAACUUGAGUGCAGAAGAGGAGAGUGGAAUUCCACGUGUAGCGGUGAAAUGCGUAGAGAUGUGGAGGGACACCAGUGGCGAAGGCGACUCUCUGGUCUGUAACUGACGCUGAGGAGCGAAAGCGUGGGGAGCGAACAGGAUUAGAUACCCGGGUAGUCCCUGUCUCUUAUAC
rnacentral:rRNA from 1 species